CCUACGGGAGGCAGCAGUGAGGAAUAUUGGUCAAUGGGCGCGAGCCUGACCCAGCAACGCCGCGUGAAGGAAGAAUGCUCUACGGUUGUAAACUUCUUUUUACAGGGAAGUAUAGUAGACGGUGCCUGUCUAAUAAUCCACAGCUAACUACGUGCGAGCAGCCGCGGUAAUACGUAGGUGGCAAGCAUUGUCCGGGUUUACUGGGUUUAAAGGGCGUGUAGCCGGGUUGACAAGUCAGAUGUGAAAUUCUGCGGCUUAACCGCAGAACUGCAUUUGAAACUGUUGAUCUUGAGUACAGUGGAGGUAGACGGAAUUCGUGGUGUAGCGGUGAAAUGCGUAGAUAUUAGGAGGAACACCAGUGGCGAAGGCAGCUUACUGGACGGCAACUGACGGUGAGGCGCGAAAGCGUGGGGAGCAAACAGGAUUAGAUACCCGUGUAGUC
rnacentral:rRNA from 1 species